rnacentral:rRNA from 1 species
ACGCUCGACACCUACUGGAGGCAGCAGUGGGGAAUAUUGCACAAUGGGGGAAACCCUGAUGCAGCGACGCCGCGUGAGCGAAGAAGUAUUUCGGUAUGUAAAGCUCUAUCAGCAGGGAAGAAACUGACGGUACCUGACUAAGAAGCACCGGCUAAAUACGUGCCAGGAGCCGCGGUAAUCUGAGCGGGCUGGCAAGGC